rnacentral:lncRNA from 1 species
GCUCCUAAAUUAAACUGAAGAGCUGGCUCCUUGCAGCCCUUAAAACCUCCCUUGGGAUCUCAUUAAACAGCAGCUCCGGAGAAGGAGCGGGAGCCUCCCCUGGCCCCUCGCGGGCCAGGCUGGGGAAAACAACGGGGCUUUAAAAAAAAAAAAAAAAAACUCUGAAAAAGACGCUGCAAAGAGAUUCAUGGCAGGUCCCAGGCCCCUGUGGUGUAGGCACGUCCACAGAGAACAAGUGUGUGUGGAAGCCAAACCGGGGAGCCGCAGCAGGAGGGAGAACAGAGCUGCCCCUGGCCCCCUUGGCUGAGACGCUUGGAUCCCUGCACACCCAGCAGGACAAAGAGGAGACCCGGGAAGAACACUCCCAACAAUGGCGUACGGAUGACUGAAGGCAGCAGGGCACUGCUGGGGGAGGCUGGACAGUUCCUUCGCGUGGUUAAACUGGAAAACGAGAAAUGUCAGGCGAAACCCAGGAAGUCCCAUCGGCCCUUGUGCAGACUUGGCCCUGUGUUUUCAUCUGAAGAGCAGCACGGUACACUCUCACGUUUCCCCAUCCUGGGAGGUCUGUGUCAUCUCAGACACACACAGGCCCAGGAACACCCAGCGCCUGCCUCUGUGUGAACACGCGACACCUGCUUUGUUGAAUGACGGAACGAAACACCCAUGGUUUCCUGGUAAGAAUUUGCCCUUUCACUUUAAUGUGGCCAAAGGCUCAUAAAUCCUUACACUGUCCUUCUGCCACUGAAAAGCAGCAAUUUCAUUUUAUUUUUUAAAGGAAAAAGUUCAUGUCCAAUCCCUUUUUGUGUGUC